rnacentral:rRNA from 1 species
CCUGGUUGAUCCUGCCAGUUGCCAUAUGCUUGUUUCAAAGAUUAAGCCAUGCACGUGUCAGUCCAACAAUUGUGAAACCGCGAACGGCUCAGUAAAUCGGUUGAAAUCUUACAGAGAUUAAAACUAUAGGAUAACUCGGGUAACUCUCGAGCUAAUACUUAUGAAUACUCCUCAGGGAGUGUGAUCUGCCUAUGACCAGUCGUGUCUUUGAAGAACAUGCAAGAGGAACCAAGGUUGAUUGCAAACACCAAUGUGUAAUACUCGGUGGUUCUCGCUGGGGCGUCCGACCUAUCAAUUAGGGACGGUAGUGUAUGGGACUACCGUGGUUGUGACGGGUAACGGGGAAUUAGGGUUCGAUUCCGGAGAGGCAGCCCGAGUGACGGCUACCACACCCAAGGGAGGCAGCAGGCGCGCAAAUUACCCAAUAGUAGUUUUCUGAGGUAGUGACGAAAAAUAACGAUGCAUUGCUACAUAGCAGUGUAAUCGGAAUGACUGUGAUUGAAAAAUUCUGAGGAGGAUCAAGUGGAGGGCAAGUCUGGUGCCAGCAGCCGCGGUAAUACCAGCAUCCACGAGCAUAUGCAAAAGUUGCUGCGUUUAAAAAGUUCGUAGUUGGUGCUGUUUCAUCCGUCAAUCGAUUCAAUGUAUUGUUGGUCGGGCGAAUGAAUCUGUGCAUUUGCGGGAAUUGCACUUAAUUGUGUGAGACCUGUGCAAGCAGAUAUACCUAGAAUAAAUCAGCGUGUUCAAGGCAGCCUUUGGGCGUGAAUAGUGGAGCGUGGAAUUGAUGUAAAAGAUCGUGCAUCUGUUUUGGUCGUUGAUUAGGCGAUAAUGGUCAAAAAGAUUGAAUGGGGGCAUGUGUAUUGAUGCGUCAGAGGUGAAAUUCUUGGAUCGCGUCAGGACAUUCUACUGCGAAAGCAUUUGCCAAGAGUGAUUUUUUUAAUCAAGAACGAAAGUUGGAGUAUUGAAGAGGAUUAGAUACCCUCGUAAUUCUAACCAUAAACUCUACAAUCCCUACUUGUGUUGUAUUGUUUACGAUUUGGCACGGGUUAUCAGGGAAACUGAAGUGUUUCUGUUACGGGGGUAGUAUGGUUGCAAAAUCGAAACUUGAAGGAAUUGACGGAAGGGCACCACCAGGAGUGGAGCCUGCGGCUUAAUUCGACCCAACACGGGAAAAUUCACCGGGUCCAGACACAGGAAUGAUUGACAGGCUGGAUAUUCAUCACGAUACUGCGGGUGGUGGUGCAUGGCCGUUCUUAGUUAGUGGAGUAGUUUGUCUGGUUGAUUCCGAUAACGAACGAGACCUCUAUCGACUGAAUACGGUGAAUUGUUAGUACGAAGAACCGUACAUAAGAGAGACUAAGUGGGUAUAAUACCGCAUGGAAGUGAGGCUAUAACAGGUCUGUGAUGCCCUUAGAUGUCCCGGGCUGCACGCGUGCUACACUGAGUGCGUCAACAGGUUAUAGGGUCCGAAAGGGUCUGGUGAAUCCUGCAACGUUAUUCAUGCUUGGGAUCAAUUUCUGUCAUAUCGAAUUGUGAACGAGGAAUUUCUAGUAAGUGCCGGUAAGUAACUGGCGCUGAUUAUGUCCCUGCCCUUUGUACACACCGCCCGUCGCUACUACUGAUUGGGUGUAUGAGCAAGUCGCGUGGACAUCAUUUUCUACUUAUAAGUGAUGAAAGCGAAACGAGUUCACAUAUCUAGAGGAAGUAAAAGUCGUAACAAGGUUUCCGUAGGGGAACCUGCGGAAG